GAAGUAUCAAUUGGCCACAAUUUGGCACUACAUCAAGGUUGAGCUGGUUUCUCCAACCUCUGCUGAGAUCCCUACAGCUAUUCAGAGCCUGAAAACAAAACAAAACCAACAGUCAAUAGUGCUCAAACUGGUAGCUUCAAACAGCUCACAGGUAAGGAAGCUGUGCUGCAUGGUUUGGGGAUCACCAAAGGGUGGAUAUGAUUUUAUCUCAGAGAGCUCAUAGACAAACAUGGUAUUAUUGGCUAUAAUGCUUGA
rnacentral:lncRNA from 1 species